GAAUCGAUACAGAGAAGAUUAGCAUGGCCCCUGCGAAAGGAUGACACGCAAAUUCGUGAAGCGUUUCCACAUUUU
rnacentral:snRNA from 1 species